AGGCUGGCACACCUUGUCGUACCCAAACCGAUAAUUUUUUUCCCCUCUGGCUGGGCCGGUGGCAUCUGAAAGCAGAGUGGCCGGAGGGGGGACACGGUAGUGAACUGGGGUUCGGGGGCAGGAAGGGUGGGAUCUGGAUGGCAGUGAUGCCACUAGGGGUGGACCUGGACGUUCUGGAAGAAAAGAGCGAGGACCAGAGUGGGACGGUUGUGAGCGGCGGUUCGAAGUUUAUGUGAACGAACAAUAAUCACCAGAAUAACUCCGUCCUUGGGAAUUAUUCUCAGUGGUGUUCUGUGCAUUCUCUGAGGGCCAAGCAAAGGAGUGGACAGCUGUGUGGCCUGGGAGAUGAGAGGGGCAUGGCACGAAUUCUACUGGAAUGCAGUCUUAGUGACAAGCUGUGUGUUGUCCGGGAGCAGCAAUAUGAGAUCAUCAUCAUCCCAACCAUUCUAGUUGGCACCUUCCUUAUCCUUCUUGUGGUCAUCCUGAGGCUUUUUAUCAGAGGACAAAGAGCUCAACAACAGUCUCCUGGACUCCGAGGUAAAAUUCAAACUGGGGCUGGGAGGAGGGCCAGGGAAGAUGGAGCUUACAGAAAGUAAGACCCAAGUCUCAGUGAGCCCAGGUCUAGAAGGUGAGAUCCCUGCUAUGGGAGAGGCGGUAUGGGGCCCCUCUUGUGGAAUUGAGGGGUGGUGAGCUCUUCUCUAGGAAGUCAUGAGUAGAAACUCAGUAUAUGCUUGUUAGUUGAAACAACAGUAGGUAAGGCAGGCUUCAUGUGACCUGUUUUAUCUUCUUUGUCCUAUUGCACUAUCAAAUAUUUGGCCACGUGAGUGUCUACAUAUUGGGGAGGAAAAUUAGUAGGUAAAGCCAAAGGCUUUGUUACCAGUCUUAAAGGAUGACAUUUUACUCUGUAAUACAUCCCAGCCCUGCUCAUGCUCCUGGACUAUAUGAUGAAAAGGAGUGGCCUUCAUAGUAGUCUUUGAAGCAAUAAGUAGGAGAUAAUGUCCUGUUCUGAAGUAACACUUAGCAUAUAAUGAAAGUGAAUUAGCUUACAUGAAACUAAGAGUAAAGAGAAGAAAAAAAGUCAUGACAGUGAUCAGAAACUGUUUAGUGGCUGAUCCCCAUUCUCUAUCUGAAUGGUAAAUUGGGUGAUGGGCAUUAAGGAGGGCACUUGAUGUAAUGAGCACUGGGCAUGAUAAGCAACUGAUGAAUCACCAAAUUCUACCCCUGAAACUAAUAAUGCACUAUAUGUGAACUAAACUGAAUUUAAAUAAAAAGUUAAAAAAAAAAGUUAUCCCAAUUCUCUUCUUCACUUACAGAAAAACUUCUCAGGGAAGUUGUCUAAACUCACUCUCGUGACUUCUACUUGUCACAUUCUCUUUCAAACAUACUAAAAUAAGGCUUUUCUCCCCACUACUCCACCAAAACAAUUCUCUCCGAGAUUGCCAGUGACAGCUAUAUUGAGUCCUCUUAACCUGUCAAAAGCAUUUGGAACAAUUUUGCACCUUCUCCUUCUUGAAACACUUUAUUUUCCUUUUAAAUCUAUAGUCACUCCCUUAAUGGUCUUAUUUUCAGUCUUACGGAUUCAAACACUUUCUCUAUUCUAAUUGUAGUCCCCCGUUGAACUCCAGAUUCUUAUUUAAACCACUUACUUCGCAGUUUGGAUCCAAUACACAUCUCAUAUGUAAUAUGCCUACAGCAAAGGUCCUGAAAUUCCCUCACAAAUGUCUUCUGAUUUUCUAUGAAGUGUUCAGUCUAAAAUUUUGCAGAUGUCCUUGACUCCUCAUUCUCUCAUACUUUGUAUCCAAUCCGUUAGCAAAUCCUGUUAAACUGAUCUUCAGAAGAAAUUUAAGCCUCUUUCAUCUUUCAUAGAUCGUUGUAGUACACCCCUAACUGGUUUCCCUACUUCUUUCCCUGUCCCUUUAUGGUUCUCCACAGGACAGCAGAAUGAUUCUUUUAAGGCCUAAGUCAGUCCUGACAAUUCUCUGCUUGGAAUAAAAUAAAAAAUAAAAUAAAAUAAGAUGAGAUGAGAUGAGAUGAAACGAGAUGAAGUGAGAUGAAAUAAAAUUAAAUAAAUAAAAUAAAUAAAUAAAUAAAAUAAAAUAAAAAUUUUAUUAGAAUAAAGACAAAAUUCUUUCAAUGGCCUUCCAUGACAUGGGCCCUCUCUGGCCUCAAUGUUGUAUAAUUCUCCAAUUAUCCCACAUGGUUCCAUCUGUACUAACUUCAUUUUUCUUCCUCAAAUAUGACAAGAAUGCUUCUUCCUCAAUACCUCUGCUCAUCCUGUUCCCUCUGUCUGUAAUAUCCUUCCUGAUACCAGUAUGGUUUGCUCUCUAAUUGCUUCCUGGCAUUUCUCAAAUGUCAUCCUAUCAGAAAGGCCUGUCCUGGCCUUGAAAUAUAAAAUAGCAUUGUGGAUAGCCUCUGAUUCUGCUCUUUUCCUUUAUAACACUCAUCACCUGGUAUGUUGUUAUCUGUUUCCUCUCUCCUACCACUAGAAAGUAAUCAUAAGAAUCUGGGCUUUGCCUAUUCCCAACACCUAGAACAGUU